rnacentral:rRNA from 1 species
GAUGAACGCUGGCGGCGUGCCUAAUACAUGCAAGUCGAGCGAACAGACGAGGAGCUUGCUCCUCUGACGUUAGCGGCGGACGGGUGAGUAACACGUGGAUAACCUACCUAUAAGACUGGGAUAACUUCGGGAAACCGGAGCUAAUACCGGAGAAUAUAUUGAACCGCAGGGUUCAAUAGUGAAAGACGGUUUUGCUGUCACUUAUAGAUGGAUCCGCGCCGCAUUAGCUAGUUGGUAAGGUAACGGCUUACCAAGGCAACGAUGCGUAGCCGACCUGCGAGGGUGAUCCGCCACACUGGAACUGAGACACGGUCCAGACUCCUACGGGAGGCAGCAGUCGGGAAUCUUCCGCAAUGGGCGAAAGCCUGACGGAGCAACGCCGCGUGAGUGAUGAAGGUCUUCGGAUCGUAAAACUCUGUUAUUAGGGAAGAACAAAUGUGUAAGUAACUAUGCACGUCUUGACGGUACCUAAUCAGAAAGCCCCGGCUAACUACGUG